UGGGGAAUCUUCCGCAAUGGACGAAAGUCUGACGGAGCAACGCCGCGUGUAUGAUGAAGGUCUUCGGAUUGUAAAGUACUGUCAUUGGGGAAGAACGGUUUUCUUGAAAAGAUUGAGAAGACAUGACGGUACCCAAGGAGGAAGCCCCGGCUAACUACGUGCCAGCAGCCGCGGUAAUACGUAGGGGGCAAGCGUUGUCCGGAAUUAUUGGGCGUAAAGGGCGCGUAGGCGGGCCUUUAAGUCCGGUGUGAAAGAUCAGGGCUCAACCCUGAGAGUGCAUCGGAAACUGGAGGCCUUGAGGACAGGGAGAGGGAAAGUGGAAUUCCACGUGUAGCGGUGAAAUGCGUAGAUAUGUGGAGGAACACCAGUGGCGAAGGCGACUUUCUGGACUGUAACUGACGCUGAGGCGCGAAAGCGUGGGGAGCAAACAGGAUUAGAUACCCUGGUAGUCCACGCCGUAAAUGAUGAGUGCUAGGUGUAGAGGGUAUCGACCCCUUCUGUGCCGCGUUAACACAAUAAGCACUCCGCCUGGGGAGUACGGCCGCAAGGUUGAAACUUAAAUGAAUUGAC
rnacentral:rRNA from 1 species